UCGUAAAACGGAACCAAGAACCCCACGGAGAUAUACCCCCGACUACUACUUAAGAAAAAGUUCCUAUCGUGAUUCCUUUUCUCCAUCUACUUCGAGACAAAGAGAUUUAUACUAUGACGCAUAUUCAUCAGCGAAUUCGAGAAGUGACUUCGAUCGAAAGUCCUUUUCAUCAAGAAAUUGGAGAAGACGAGAAGCCGAUUACGAUUUUGAUUCAUUCCAAGAUGGCGUUCGAAGAGAAAGACAUACUCCUACUAGAUCUUCAAAGAAAUCUUACUCGGAGUAUUCUUCACGAAGUUUUGAUUGUGAAUCAUAUGCAAAUAGUUCUUCAUCUUUCGAAC
rnacentral:lncRNA from 1 species